UACAGAGGUCUCAAGCGUUGUUCGGAUUCAUUGGGCGUAAAGGGUGUGUAGGUGGCGCGCUAAGUCGGGUGUGAAAUUUCGGAGCUUAACUCCGAAACUGCAUUCGAUACUGCGUGCUUGAGGACUGGAGAGGAGACUGGAAUUUAGGUGUAGCGGUGAAAUGCGUAGAGUAUCAUAGGAAGACCAGUGGCGAAGGCGGGUCUCUGGACAGUUCCUGACGCUGAGGACGAAGGCCAGGGGAGCAAACGGGGAUUAGAACCUA
rnacentral:rRNA from 1 species